rnacentral:lncRNA from 1 species
GCCGCAUGAUGCUGGGUGCCUCAGAAGCAGGAGCUCCACUGAUGUAUGUUCAUGGCCCUAUGAUGUGGGGCAUCUCCGGAUUUGCUGAAGAUCAUGCCUCAAGUCAGCUUGCUCCUGCCUUCAGGACCAUAAUGGCAGCUGCUGGUGUUCCCUCCUGCCCCUGAAAUGUUGCUAGUGGAGCCUCACAUAGAACCAGCAAAAGUGGGGGAUGGAGCGAUAGCUACGCACUGACUAUGAAAAGCAUUCAGGAAAAUGCUGUUACUUUUAUUGCAUAGCAAGUGUAAUAGGCAUGUAAAUAAAAAUAUUUUAUCCCGCA